rnacentral:rRNA from 1 species
AACGAACGCUGGCGGCAUGCCUAACACAUGCAAGUCGAACGAGACCUUCGGGUCUAGUGGCGCACGGGUGCGUAACGCGUGGGAAUCUGCCCUUCGGUUGGGAAUAACUGAGAGAAAUUUCAGCUAAUACCUUAUAAUGUCUUCGGACCAAAGAUUUAUCGCCAAGGGAUGAGCCCGCGUAGGAUUAGGUAGUUGGUGGGGUAAUGGCCUACCAAGCCGACGAUCCUUAGCUGGUCUGAGAGGAUGAUCAGCCACACUGGGACUGAGACACGGCCCAGACUCCUACGGGAGGCAGCAGUGGGGAAUAUUGGACAAUGGGCGAAAGCCUGAUCCAGCAAUGCCGCGUGAGUGAUGAAGGCCUUAGGGUUGUAAAGCUCUUUUACCCGGGAUGAUAAUGACAGUACCGGGAGAAUAAGCUCCGGCUAACUCCGUG